rnacentral:rRNA from 1 species
CCUACGGGACGCAGCAGUGGGGAAUAUUGGACAAUGGGCGAAAGCCUGAUCCAGCCAUGCCGCGUGUGUGAAGAAGGCCUUCGGGUUGUAAAGCACUUUCAGUGGGGAAGAAAGCCUUGGGGCUAAUACCCUCGAGGAAGGACAUCACCCACAGAAGAAGCACCGGCUAACUCCGUGCCAGCAGCCGCGGUAAUACGGAGGGUGCGAGCGUUAAUCGGAAUUACUGGGCGUAAAGCGCGCGUAGGCGGUCUGAUAAGCCGGUUGUGAAAGCCCCGGGCUCAACCUGGGAACGGCAUCCGGAACUGUCAGGCUAGAGUGCAGGAGAGGAAGGUAGAAUUCCCGGUGUAGCAGUGAAAUGCGUAGAGAUCGGGAGGAAUACCAGUGGCGAAGGCGGCCUUCUGGACUGACACUGACGCUGAGGUGCGAAAGCGUGGGUAGCAAACAGGAUUAGAUACCCUUGUAGUC